AGUUAUAUGCUUGACUCAAAGAUUAAGCCAUGCAUGUGCAAGUGCGUUACUUUUACACGGUGAGACCGCGAAUGGCUCAUUAGAUCAGUCGGUGUUUCUUAGACGGAAAAGUGCUACUCGGAUAACUGUGGCAAUUCUAGAGCUAAUACGUGCAUCGAAAGCUCCGACCCGCGGUUGGGGAAGAGCGCAAUUGUUAGAUCAAGACCAACCUUGCCCGCGAGGCUUGGAAGGCUGGUGACUCUGGAUAAUUUCGGGCUGACCGCACGGCCAAGAGCCGGCGGCGCAUCUUUUAAAUGUCUGCCCUAUCAAUUUUCGAUGGUAUACGACCUGUUUACCAUGGUGGUUACGGGUAACGGGGAAUCAGGGUUCGGUUCCGGAGAGGGAGCAUGAGAAACGGCUACCACCUCCAAGGAAGGCAGCAGGCGCGUAAAUUACCCACUCUUGGCUCAGGGAGGUAGUGACGAGUAAUAACGACCCAGGACUCUAUAACGAGCCCUCGGGAUCGGAAUGCGUAAAACUUAAACUCAAUUGCAAGGAACAAUUGGAGGGCAAGUCUGGUGCCAGCAGCCGCGGUAAUUCCAGCUCCAAUAGCGUAUAUUAAAGCUGUUGCAGUUAAAAAGCUCGUAGCUGAAUCACGGGUGGAAGAUCUGGGUCUCUAGCCUCACGGCCAAGAGGUCCGUUCUGACCCAAUCUGUCGGUGUACACGGGGUGCUCUUCGCUGAGUGUCUCGGGUGGCUGGUACGUUUACUUUGAAAAAACGAGGGUGCUCAAAGCAGGUCUGCCACGCCUGAAUAGUCGAGCAUGGAAUAAUGGAAUAAGAUCUCGGCUUUAUUUUGUUGGUCUCUAAAGCUAGAGAUAAUGAUUAAUAGGGACGGACGGGGGCAUUCGUAAUGCGGGGCGAGAGGUGAAAUUCUUGGACCCUCGCAAGACGAACAACCGCGAAAGCAUUUGCCAAGAAUGUUUUCUUUAGUCAAGAACGAAAGUCAGAGGUUCGAAGACGAUCAGAUACCGUCCUAGUUCUGACCUUAAACGAUGCCGACUAGCGAUGCGCGAGCGUUGGUACUUGACCUCGCGGGCAGCUACCCGGGAAACCAAAGUUUUUGGGUUCUGGGGGAAGUAUGGUUGCAAAGCUGAAACUUAAAGGAAUUGACGGAAGGGCACCACCAGGAGUGGAGCCUGCGGCUUAAUUUGACUCAACACGGGAAAACUCACCCGGCCCGGACACUGCAAGGAUUGACAGAUUGAGAGCUCUUUCUUAAUUCGGUGGUUGGUGGUGCAUGGCCGUUCUUAGUUGGUGGAGCGAUUUGUCUGGUUAAUUCCGAUAACGAACGAGACUCUAGCCUGCUAAAUAGUUCGUCGAUGCGCGGUGUAUUGGCGUGGAACUUCUUAGAGGGACAAGUGGCUUUUAGCCAAGCGAGAAUGAGCAAUAACAGGUCUGUGAUGCCCUUAGAUGCUCGGGGCCGCACGCGCGCUACACUGAAGGAGUCAACGAGUGGCCUGUCCUGACCCGAAACGGUUGGGCAACCCGUUGAAUCUCUUUCGUGGUAGGGAUUGGAGCUUGCAAUUGUUCUCCAUGAACCAGGAAUUCCGAGUAAGCGCAGGUCAAAAGCCUGCGUUGAUUACGUCCCUGCCCUUUGUACACACCGCCCGUCGCUACUACCGAUCGAGCGGUUCAGUGAGCCAAUCGGACUCGCCCGGUCAGUUUCUCGAAAGGGGUGCGAAUUGCGCCGGGGAAGAUUGUCCGAACUGUGAUUGCUUA
rnacentral:rRNA from 1 species